UACGACCAUAAUACGUAAAAUUACCGGUUCUCGUAAAAUCACCGAAGGUAAGCAACGUCGAAUCCGGUCAGUACCUAGAUGGGUGACUACUUGGGAAUACCAGGUGCUGCAG